rnacentral:rRNA from 1 species
CGAAGGGGGCUAGCGUUGUUCGGAAUUACUGGGCGUAAAGCGUAUGCAGGCGGACUUUUAAGUCGGGGGUGAAAUCCCGAGGCUCAACCUCGGAACUGCCUUCGAUACUGGAAGUCUUGAGUCCGGGAGAGGUGAGUGGAACUCCGAGUGUAGAGGUGAAAUUCGUAGAUAUUCGGAAGAACACCAGUGGCGAAGGCGGCUCACUGGCCCGGUACUGACGCUGAGAUACGAAAGCGUGGGGAGCAAACAGGAUUAGAUACCCUGGUAGUCCACGCCGUAAACGAUGGGUGCUAGCCGUCGGGAAGCUUGCUUCUCGGUGGCGCAGCUAACGCUUUAAGCACCCCGCCUGGGGAGUACGAUUGCAAGAUUA